UCGACCCAGACUAAACAUUGGACCCACUAACACCUUCUAUAUCUUCUAGCGUCGUCUUCUUCGUACCUUAUCUUCCACGACCGACUACAUAACCUAUGUGUAACGCCUUUGUUUCUCAUUGAAUCCACUUCUUAACGUCUCUCCAUUAUCUCCCUCCGUUCAACUCUGCCACUAAGUCGGCUUUAAUGACCACUUUUCUCAAUUUCCAUCUCAAAUCCCUAAUUCUUGAGAUUGUAAAUAGGGAUAAGUAAUUCACCAAAUCUCACUGCUUCAGAAGAUUAAUCAAAUUCCAUUUUUUUUUUCCGAUUUAGUCUGGCCGUUGUCCCAAACGGUGGUGGCGCUUCUUCUGUGUUUCUGGGGAGCAUGCACUGUCAAGAAAAUAGGAGAGCUCAUGGGAUUCAACAUGCUCCUGUUUUAUGAAAAGGUAGCUCUUCGUGUCCCCUUGAUGAUAGAAUCUGAGGGCCUAACUGGUAACCAUUACACAGGAACAUUGGGAACACAUAGAAAAAGAACCGAAAAGAAUAAAAUUAUAGGAAUGAUGAGGAAUAAUGAUUCCUUAUAAUAUUUAGGCUUUGAACGGUGACCAAGGAACGAAAGUGAACAUUUAAUUCUUUAUCAUUCUAAAAAAAAAUCACCAUUCACAAGGAAUAGUUUUUCCUUCUUGUUCCUCCCCAUUCCUUUUUUUGUAGAGAAAUAUAGAACAAAAGCAUUCCUUGUUAAAUUUGAUAAGGAAUAAGCAUUCCUUUUAAUUCCUGAAAUUUUAUUCCUAUACGUUUCUUUCCUAUUUGUUCCUCAUGUUCCCAGAAAAGUCACCAGUCGGAGCCUUAGUGAGCAACAAAUUUAUUCAAUAUUUCACUACAAUAAAAGGAAUGAGAAGGAAUGAAGUGGAAAAACUAUUCCUUAUGAAUGGUAAAUUUUUUUAGGAAUGUUAAGGAAUGCAUUGUUCCUCUUCAUUCUUUGGUCACUAUUCAUACCCUGAAUUUAUUAUAUUGCUUCUCUACUAUUUUGUCAUGAUUUUUUGUUAAAUAGUCAUCUCUCUAAGGAUCUAUUUAUAUGCAUCAGCUAGAUGCAUUGCUUAAGUGAUGAAGGUUUAAUAGAUCUAAGCCAAGACUCAAGUUCCCAGUGGCUAAUCAAGUCUCAAGAAAUGAAAACUGAUGAUCCUAAGAUUUAUAAUGAAAAGAUCGGAUCUCACGAGAAGUUACAGAAUUUAAAUACCAUCAUGGCUGUCUAGAUGAUUGUAGAGUUCCUCAUGUAUACAUCGAUCUCCAGAUUGCUAUAUCUGGUCUCCUCCAACAGGGAUGAAGAACAAUUAGUUUAAAACCAUAUCCACAAUCUAUUAUCUAUACUGAAGCUUGGAUUAGCCAUUUAAAGCAUUGGAGUAAAGCAUGGAUCAUCAUCAUCUUUUUCAUUUUCCAUUGUCUGAUGUUGUGUGUUCUUCUUUUAUAUGUUUGUUAUUUGAUUCUUUUUACGGCUUCAAAUUGGCAUGAAUUUUUCAGAAGAGUACUUGUGGUUGCAAAAAAUUCCUUCGCAUUAAGACAGCAAAGUACUUUGGAUAACGCAAAUCCAAAGCAAUUGUGGAUUUCGGGUCUUUUGCCUCUUUUGCUGGUUUAUGUCAUGGAGCAAGCCUUUCUUGACUCUGGAUUCCUAUUUAUCUGAUAGGUAGGUUUGGCUGCAAAGACAGCACCUGUCCAGCCAACUUGUGUCGAGAGCUCUGCAGAGGAAAACCUGGUUCUAGCAGUAUGGAGUGCACUCAAUGCACGCAAGGAAUAUUUACUUAAGCUCUCCACACGAAGACCCUCCUAUUUUACUGAAGCUUUGUUGAGGUUAUGCUUUAAGAAUAACCACUGCAGUAUAGUGGUACGUUCAACAUGUCAAAAAUACAUAUGAAGUCGGCAACCAACAAACCAAGAUCUAACAAAUAAAUUAACACAUUUGCACAUCCCUUUCGCGCGGAUCUCCCCUAGUCUUAUAUAUAUAUUAUAUAAAGGAGUGUUUUACUCACUCCUAAGGCUGCCACAUAUGAUUACAGGUCAGAAAGUCGGGCUCUGUGAAGCCGCCACGUGUCCCGGGCAUGAAACUUUGCGUUUCAUUCAUUCAAGAUUAAUAUUCGUUUGGGCUUUUGAUUUCACACGAUUUUUUUAAUAAAGCUUUGUAAAGCCCAUCUUAGAAAAAGAGUAAGUCGACUUGAAACGCGUCGGGUUCUGUUUCAAGGGUUGAACCCUUAUUCUUCUCCGCCGUCGUGAUGUAGCCUCCAACUCUAGGGUUUCGAUUCACCUUCUUCCUCCGGCCCUGAUUUUUACCAUGAUUGAGAUGAUGUUGUUUUGUUUCUGGGAGGCGAGGAAUGUUAGGUGGGGUGAUGAACUCAUGUCUGUCCACAUCUCUUGCUUGAUUUAAAGGUGACUCUUAUGCCAGCCACCAUAAGUGCUAAUCGGGUUCCAACCUUAUCUUCAAGCGUCGGCGAGAAAGAAAUAGAGUUCGUUUGUCUCAAGAAGGGGAAGGAGAAGCUGAACAAGGCCACCCGCAUACCAUCUUUUAUUCUGAUGAAGACGAGCCGGAAGAUCAUCAACCAAGGAGUUCCGACAAGCUUCAGCUGUCAGGGACGAAGCGACCGGUUGGAGGGGUUUCAACCAACGUUAGGUUCGAAGGGAGUCAAGAAAAUCUAUAAACAAUGUGAGAAAAUGGGAUCAAAUUCUAAAAGACUUUUUGGUGAGAAAGAUGAGAUUGUUUUGCUACAAGGUAUAAUUGAUUCCAAAGGGAAGAAUCCACUAGAAGAUAGGCUCUACGAAUCAUGAAGGGUUCUCUUAGCUUUGAUGUUACCUUGAGACAGUUCAAGGAGAAGCUUCAGACUAUGAGUAGGAAAUAUACAACUACAGAAAUGACGGGUGAACAAGCUUCGCUUCGAAUCCUCAUCAACAAAAGUGCUUUCAGUUGUCAAAGGCUAUUUGGGGGAGCUGAAGUGAUAGCUUUUGAAUCUGCUAUUGGGAAAUCAAAGGAGAGUAAGAAGAGAGUGACAAAGAAACAUGACUUGGCGUCUUCGCGUAAUGGUAAGAAUGCCCAAGACAGUAGUAAAAGAGGAGAUAUGGAGAAGUCACCACAUGUUGUGACAAAAUCUGAUUGGAAUGAGAAUUCGUUUUUCUUGGUAUGGAUUUUCUGAAGGCAAAAUGGACCAAGGUGCCAACUGAGACUAAGAAGGAAACCCAAGAGAAGAUGAAAAAAUUGCAUGCCAGUGAACAUGAAUCUCAAAACUUUGAAGGACAUUGAAGGGCAUGAAAGAUAAAUGUGUGCAUGACAAGUUAGAGUUGUUGAAUGAAGUUACCUCUACGAUCAUGGCAGCAGAUUAGAUAUAUAAUUAUUGGGUUCUCUUUUUAGAUGCAAAGGCUAUGUGAUCGCAACAUCUUCUUCUACAGCUAUUUUUGAACCCUUUUUUUUCCCCUAACUUCUGGUGUUUUUGAACUUAAAUCUUAACUUUCUGGUGUCUUCCGUGUGUUUGAGUAGCUUUUGAAGGUAAAAUGAAACGAGCAAGUACUAUAAAUAUUUUUUUCGGUU